rnacentral:rRNA from 1 species
GAUGAACGCUGGCGGCGUGCCUAAUACAUGCAAGUCGAGCGAACGGACGAGAAGCUUGCUUCUCUGAUGUUAGCGGCGGGCGGGUGAGUAACACGUGGAUAACCUACCUAUAAGACUGGGAUAACUUCGGGAAACCGGAGCUAAUACCGGAUAAUAUUUUGAACCGCAUGGUUCAAAAGUGAAAGACGGUCCUGCUGUCACUUAUAGAUGGAUCCGCGCUGCAUUAGCUAGUUGGUAAGGUAACGGCUUACCAAGGCAACGAUGCAUAGCCGACCUGAGAGGGUGAUCGGCCACACUGGAACUGAGACACGGUCCAGACUCCUACGGGAGGCAGCAGUAGGGAAUCUUCCGCAAUGGGCGAAAGCCUGACGGAGCAACGCCGCGUGAGUGAUGAAGGUCUUCGGAUCGUAAAACUCUGUUAUUAGGGAAGAACAUAUGUGUAAGUAACUGUGCACAUCUUGACGGUACCUAAUCAGAAAGCCACGGCUAACUACGUG